UACGUAGGGGCGAGCGUUGUCCGGAUUUACUGGGCGUAAAGCGCGUGUAGGUGGGAAGCAAGUCCGGUGGGAAAGCCCGCGGCUCAACCGCGGAAGUCGCUGGAAACUGCUACUCUUGAGGGUGAUAGAGGGAAGUGGAAUUGCUGGUGUAGCGGUGAAAUGCGCAGAUAUCAGGAGGAACACCGGUGGCGAAGGCGGGUCUCUGGGCCGAUACUGACACUGAGGCGCGAAAGCGUGGGGAGCGAACAGG
rnacentral:rRNA from 1 species